AGUGAACGCUGGCGGCAGGCCUAAUACAUGCAAGUCGAACGGCAGCACAGUGGAGCUUGCUCCAUGGGUGGCGAGUGGCGGACGGGUGAGGAAUACAUGGGAAUCUGCCCAGUCGUGGGGGAUAACGUAGGGAAACUUACGCUAAUACCGCAUGCGCCCUUCGGGGGAAAGCCGGGGACCUUCGGGCCUGGCGCGAUUGGAUGAGCCCAUGUUCGAUUAGCUAGUUGGCGGGGUAAAGGCCCACCAAGGCGACGAUCGAUAGCUGGUCUGAGAGGAUGAUAGCCACACUGGGACUGAGACACGGCCCAGACUCCUACGGGAGGUAGCAGUAGGGAAUAUUGGACAAUGGGCGCAAGCCUGAUCCAGCCAUGCCGCGUGAGUGAAGAAGGCCCUCGGGUUGUAAAGCUCUUUUGUCCGGGAAGAAAAGCAUCGGGCUAAUACCUCGGUGUUCUGACGGUACCGGAAGAAUAAGCACCGGCUAACUUCGUG
rnacentral:rRNA from 1 species